rnacentral:rRNA from 1 species
CUACGGGGCGCACCAGUGGGGAAUAUUGGGCAAUGGGCGCAAGCCUGACCCAGCAACGCCGCGUGAGGGAAGAAGGUUUUCGGAUUGUAAACCUCUGUCCUUGGGGACGAAGAAGUGACGGUACCCAAGGAGGAAGCUCCGGCUAACUACGUGCCAGCAGCCGCGGUAAUACGUAGGGAGCAAGCGUUGUCCGGAAUUACUGGGCGGAAAGGGUGCGUAGGCGGCAUAUUAAGUCAGGUGUGAAAUACUCGGGCUCAACCCGGGGGCUGCAUUUGAAACUGAUAUGCUUGAGUGUGAGAGAGGAAAGUGGAAUUCCUAGUGUAGCGGUGGAAUGCGUAGAUAUUAGGAGGAACACCAGUGGCGAAGGCGACUUUCUGGCUCAUAACUGACGCUGAGGCACGAAAGCGUGGGGAGCAAACAGGAUUAGAUACCCUAGUAGUC